rnacentral:lncRNA from 1 species
GAGAAGGAUGGCGCAGAGUUACUUGAAUUAUGUUAGCCAUCACUCCUGACCUGAUUCAACAGCAUGUUGAUGCCUUGAUGGCAAUAUUCCCUAGCAAAUUGAAAAGGAAAGAAAGCCUGCAUAUUAUACAAUUUAUUAAGCUGAAAACUUCCAAACCUUGAGACUUCAGUCCAUUACAACAUACCAGAAACAAGCUGGCGUGGGUACGACGUACUAGCAACAAGUCGGCACAGGUACAACAUACCAAGAACGGCACAGGUACGACAUAACAAGAACAAGUUGGCACAGGUACAACACACAACAGUGUCUCAAACAACAAAAUGUAAACUUCCAAAAUCAUCAGUCUUAGCUACAUAAGUUUGGUAUGCACACUCCAGCAUCUGGAUUUUGCUGUUCCUUCCAUAUCCUCCCAGUAACUCUCAGCUUAAGCUCCUU